GGCGGCCGUAACGGCGGCGGCUAACGGCGGCGGUGGUGCUAGUGGUGGUGGCGGCUAUGAUGCUGGUAGGGGAGUUUAUGGUGGGGAGAGUGUGCCAGAGUAGGUAGAAAACGAUCUGGUGGGGGAAAUGAGACGUCGAGUAUCUCUACCACGCGCCGGAUGCUGCGGAGUAGCUCGCGAGCUCUCGCGCGAGUCGGUUUGUUUUUCUCGUAUUGGCAUGAUUUCGGAUGAAAACACGCACUUUCUCUUUUAGGCAGACAUGUGCGCUUUUAUGGAAUAGUAUUAUUGUAUAAAAAGACAAAGAAAGAAAAAAGAAGAAAGAUAGAGAUUUCAAAAAACGUUCGUACAACUUAUGGAGAACGUCAAACCACAGGUAUAUUAUCGGCACAAAGACGUUUGAUGUUCGAUGGCGCCGAAGAAAAGGGCCAAGGGACUUGAAAUUCGAAAAUAAUGCGGGUUCUGGUCAAGAAAAAAGGAGGGAUGAAUCGGACGUUCGGUUGGCUGGCUUGCUGUCUGAAACACGUGUCGCCCACUCCUUUUCGAAAGUGUAUCUCAGUCGCACGUGACGCGUUCACGGAUUCGUCGUUUCUCAUUUUCGAGUCCUGUCUGCCUUCUUACAACGAUCUACGACAUGCGGCAUCACGUAGUAUCGCGGAAAACACGCCAUUUACGAGACGCACGUGCCGGAAACGGAACUGACUCUUUAUCGUUCAAAGAAGAACGCCGUGUGAACGAACAUUGACUGUCUAUACGGAGAAAUGAGAAAUAAAAAAAUAAAAAAAAAAUAAAAGCAAACAGA